rnacentral:rRNA from 1 species
GUGAAAUCUAUUUUUUCUCUGCACGUGGCAGGAUUUGCUACGGCUUACCGGCCCAGUUACCCAAAGGGCGCCUAGGUUCUCCUGGUUGGCCAGCAGUGCUUCUGUUCCGAACCCCGAACCCCGCCGCCGCCGCCCUCCUCCUCCGUCAGCCUCGCCCCGGAGCAGCGCGUCGUUGGCGGCGGAGGCCGUGUAAACCCAUAAAGUUCUGUUUUAAGCGCACAUCGAACUUUAUGGACAUAUCUCAGGAGCAACAACAAGAUUUUGGUGUGCUACUAAAGCAGGGGGCUGAAGGAAGGGUAUUUGUUUCUACAUUUGUUGGACGAAAAUGCGUAAUCAAAGAGCGCUUUUCAAAGAAGUACCGUCACCCAUUGCUGGACUCAAAGCUGACUCUAAAACGCUUAAAUGCUGAAGCUAGAUGCAUGACAAAAGCGAGGCGGCUUGGUGUUCCUACACCAGUUCUGUAUGCUGUGGACCCUCUUCAACAUACAUUAACCUUUGAGUAUGUGGAUGGCUUGUGCGUCAAAGAUAUUCUUCUUGGAUUUGGGUCAAAUGGGAUAAAUGAAGAACGUCUUAAUGACAUUGCCACACAGAUAGGUAAUGCAGUUGGCAAACUACACGAUGGAGGUCUUGUCCAUGGUGAUUUGACAACUUCAAAUAUGAUGAUCAAGAACAGCACCAAUCAACUGGUUCUUAUUGAUUUUGGUCUGAGCUUUACAUCAACUAUUCCCGAGGACAAGGCAGUGGACCUAUAUGUUCUUGAGAGAGCCUUGAUUUCCAUGCAUUCUUCAUGUGGGGAUGUGAUGGAGAAGAUCCUUGCAGCGUACCGAAAAGCUUCAAGGCAGUGGUGUGCCACUACGAACAAGCUAGCUCAAGUCAGGCAGCGGGGCAGAAAACGAACAAUGGUUGGGUAAAACUUGACCCGGAGUUGCUGAAUGCGACGAAUUGAACCUGCAUUACCAUCCAUUGUGUGUGUUAGUUUGCAUGUAGCGGUUCAGCGGAAUUGGCUCUUGCAGAAUUGAAAUGGAUGUCAACGUGUCAAGUGAAUCAUUUGUAACACUGCUUGUUGUACUUCCGUUAGGAAUCAUAUAUCUCCCAACUCUUUAACUUGUGAGUUUUGGAUGAUCGUUGUGCAUCUUUGUGAACCUGUACGUUUACUUUGUUGCGGUGCAUCUGGUUGAAAUGUGAAUUGAUGUAAUUUACUGAAAUUACAACCAUGUGUGUUCUCCGCAUUAGCAGAAGUUUGAACGAAAC